UACGGGACUCUCACAUUCAGACAGCGGAUGCCACCACAGCACUCAAGCACCACUCAAAGCCCUAUCAGAGACUCUGCCAAACACACUCACACAUGACCUAGCACGCACACACACACAUGCUCAUUUGCAGGCAUCAGUCAGUGUCACCUGCUUUGGGAAUAGUGUGGAUGGCAAGCGAUCUUUAAUUAGUGGAGAAAAACAAAGAGAAAGAGAGGGAGAAAGUGCACUGCAGCAAACACACCUAAACACUGCGUAGCGCUGUAAGAUCAGCUCAGGUUUUAGGGUGCUCCGAACAUUACAUGCGUUCCUACUUUUGGAUAAAUUUUGUUACGCAGACACUGCAUUGUCAUAAAUCUUAAUCCAGCGAUGGCUCAAUCUCUUCUUUCAUGACAUAUUUCAGAGGGAACUAUAGAAUCAGACUUUCUGUACGAUAACCCUUGUCACUGAGCUUGUCCCUGUUCAUAAAUUCUCAGCUCAGUGUGUAGUAUAGACAGAUGGCGACGCUGCUUGGCAUCUAAUUGUGAUAUAUUGUACUCAUUACCAAAAUGCAAAGUUUAAGGUCCAAUUGUGUGACAUGCAGGGGUCCUUUAUUAAUUGCAUUACAAUUGCAUGGGAUUUUAGGUAAAAGAAAAAAAAAAGAAAAAAAUCUGGAUGUGAUAACCUUUGAAAACACAACACUACCAUUUUGGGCAAAAAGCCAUAAAGUGCAUCGGAAAUCACGUACUGUCUGAACAGGUAUUAAAUUUGCACUUAUUUCACAACUGUUAAAAAGUAUGUCGUAUAUAGUAUGAAUAAGGGAAGUAUGAAGAAAAAUACUACAUCCACCAUGUUGUUACUGUCACAUGACCUUCACUGCCAUUUAUAUAUCCCCUCCUGUGGCCUCAUGGGAUAGACUGCGCCUUUCAGAAUCCGGGCGGAAGUAGUAGGUCUUCAAGGUACUUUUUGAACACUAUGAAUUCGGACAUACUACUCUUUUGGUGUACUGUUUUUCACAUACUAUAUAGUAGGGAAGUAUUCGAUUACAGAUGCAGCAACAGAGUGUAUUUUGAACAGUAAACAACAUUUUAGUAACCACACAGCAACAUGGUACAAACCACCCAGAACACACUAGAAACACCCUUCACUCUUAAAAGUAAAAGUUUUAGUUUUAAAAGUUUUAAAAGAAGAACUUUUUUUGGUUCCCAAAAGAACCUGUCAGUGAACAGUUCUUAAAAGAACCUUUUGUGCAAUGAAUGUAAAAGGUUCUUCGCAGCACCAUAAAUGCCAAUUUAGAACCUUUAUUUUAAAGACUGUGGGAUGGUGGUGCCAAGUUUUGUUCGGG
ensembl:lncRNA